CACGGGGCACUGUGCAGACAGAGCGCUUUGCACACAUGGGGUGCCCUGUAGUUGAACAGAAAUGGGGUGACGAAGGGUCUAUGGAGCUGGUCGGAGUCACCUCUCACUUUGUCCCACUCUUCUAAAACCUUAAGACAAAAUGGAGAAAUCCAAAGUACGUUAAUCACAAAAUGACUGUUCCUGGAGUGAUAAAGUCCACAGGAGAACAUUCAAAAGUGGUUCUUUGCUGAGACUGACCUUAAUUUCCAGGAUUGGCCUUCAGGAAAGGGAACCAACAGGAUCAUCAAGACGGAGUCCCUUGUCUCAUCAGUUCUCCAAGAGGAAGGCAGUCACCCUCGUCAGCGCCCUGCCCAGCUCUGCCCGUCAUUCCUGCUGGUUGACGACAUCACCAUCAUCAGCCAUCAUCCAUCACUGACUAUCCAGAUGGUUCAACCACCCUCUCCAGGAUCUGUGGCUGUAAAGAUUUCACCAUGAAUCUUGUAAAGCUCAUCUGGAAAUUGAUUCUGGGCAAGGUGUGCGCAAGACAAGCAGAUGCUGACAUUUUCCUCAAAUGGAAUUUCUUCACCAAAACAAACAUUCAGGUCACUUUGGGAGGAGAUCCGAGAAUGGGCCACUUGCAGACGACUGGCAAAAAAACAGUGGGUUGACUGGUUUGUUGUCAUUUUUACCAACCUGCUCCCCCCCCCCCAAACCAUAUCGCAUCUCAUCAAAACAAAUGGCUUCUAAUUAGUGCCAAAGCACACGACUAGUAAAUAUGUGGUAUAAAUUGUAAUCUUUGACAUUUUCUAGGAAGCGCCUGGUAUAAAACAAAGGAAGAAUAAUGUGACACAUUUUAUAGCUGUCUUACAAGGCGACCGUUGCUUUUAGCUGACAGACACAGAAAUCCUGACUGAUAA